GAGCUGCCAACAGGUGGCAGGAUGGCUCAGCUUAAAAAAAAAAAAAGUGGAGAGAAGAUGGCCAACCAGCCAGAGACCUCAGGACCUGAGAAACGACAUGGUGGCAAGUUCUCUGGAUUUUCUUCUUCCCUCCAACUAGGAACUGGAGAAGCUGGCAACCCAGAAAUGCCAACAGACCCAGAGAGACAAGGAGGAAGAGGAGCUGCCAAAAACAGACAAUGGGAGAAAAGAACUGAGGAGUUGAGAAGAACAGGUACCAAAAGCACCCUGGGAUGAAAAUGAGAAGAAGCUGGAGACUUGUCAUUUUCACUGUUACCAUUUCCUGUUGUAGUUGAGAGCUUGUAUGGGUGAAGUGUAUGCACUUUCAUAUAACGGCUUAGAGAAAAAUUCAUCUUUCGUUUAAUGCACCUGUUCCUCAUUGGAUGUUUAGUCCGUUUAUUCCUUAGCACACAGGCAAACAAACAAACACUUUAAAUGCAAUGGUGAAAUUGAAUUAUUUUCUAAUUCAGAUUUAAAUAUGGCUAUAUUAUAGCCUUGGAAUAGCUAUGUAUUUAUACCCAUCUUUUUAUUAAAUAUAUAUUCUUUACUUAAAUAUUCACUAAUAUGCCUAAUUUGCCCCUUGUUCUUUUAGUUUUCUGUACUCCUUGUUUGUACUUUUGGGGCCUGAAAUUUGCCUCUGACAAGCAUGUACUUCAAUCUGGUAGAAAUUAACCACUGGUCAAUAACCAUGAUUGAUCACUGGUCAAUAACUGUGAAUCAGCUGCGAUCACUGGUCAAUAACCUUGGCAAUGAGGUCUUCGCCUCUAUCACAACCAUUUCAAUCUUAUAUAAGGCUUAGACUCUCAUCAAACUUUUCUCUGAUGUUCUAUGGGCUGCCCUCAUCCACAUGCUCAAAAUAUUCCAGUCCCCGCCUAGUGAUAGCUAACCAGCAGCGUUAUUGUCUGAGACUAGCAGCUAAAAAGAGACUAUUUGAAUAAUUGGAUGGUGCUUCAGACAGUCAGUCUCCAGGGCCUGUGUCCACUGGCCCCUAGGACUGAAGGAAAUUGGCAGAGGUAUUCUGCGAGGAAAAAUAAAGGAACACAUUUGCUUCCCCCAAAAGUCCUUAAGAAGGCAGAAGGGCCUGGUGGAAACUUACAGCACUGCAUAAUCUGCUUUGCCUCUCUCACGAGGGGUCUAGGAUGUAGACCUAGAUAAUGCCAGAUCCACUCCUCUGCCUUUUGCCCCCUGCUUUCCGUGCCAGGAAGUGGAACCACAUGGACAGCAUCAGCUGGCUCCGCACAGGCUAAUAGCUGGUUCAACCGGUGGGGAACCUUGGCAAGAGAAGGAGAGACACAAAUGAAGUCAGGACAUAUUCCCCGCUUCCCUACUUAAGAGGUUGCCUCAAGCUGAAUGAUGGUGCCUAUUGACAGAAGGUCACUUCUCCUCUCCAAGACUCCUUCCGUACAAAGCUAUUCUUCUGUGUUUCAGAAAUUCUUCCCCUGCAUCACCCUUCAGGAUUAGGGGUAAUAAUAGCCCACUACUGUUAGCCUCAGGUCCCUCGGCUACCUCUUGUGACCUGUCAACACUCUGCACACACCUUUGUGCAUAGCCGUUUUGAAAUAGGUGGUAUUUGAAUUAUGAUAAUUUAUGUGUAUCUAUUUUCUGUUGAGAUCCUGGUUGAUAUAUAGUAAAUAAUUAAUAGUUAAUAUUCAUUAGAUGUUUACUAUUCUAGAAGAUUUAUGGGUAUUGAAUCAUUAAAUGCUUCUAAUAGGACAUAUCAGGAGAUAUUGUUAUUAUUACCCCAUUUUACAGCUGAGGUGAGAUUAAACCCUAUGCCCAGGGUGCACACCCUGGAAGUGGCAGGAUGCAAUUUGCACCAGAGCAUUGUGUUCUAGAGCUUGCUCUCUGCACUAAUGCCCAUCUAUGAAUGAGUGCAGCUAGAAAUGCGUGCAGGUUGCAGUUUUACAGAUCCUUCAAAAGUACUGGGUAUGAUCAUUUACAUUUUUAGCUAAUAUAAUCUAUAAAGAGUUACCUUGUUUUAAUUUGCAUUUUGUUGAUUAAUGAAUAUUUAUUUCCAUAUGUUAUCCCUAGCUACUGGCCCUCAAAAGAGAUUGUCUGUGUGUGGUCUUUGACUACUUAUCUAUCAGAUCUUUGGGUACUUUGAUUUUAUGAGCUCUUUCUGCAUUAAAUUUUCCUAGUUU